GGUGUAAUUAUUGUCAUUGUUGUUAUUUGUCAUCAUCAGUAUCAUUACAAAGGCUCAGCUGGAAGGCCUGAAGUGCCUAUUAUACACAUAGGGAAAUUGAGGCCCAGAGAGGGGUCAAGGCUUGCACAGAGUUGCCCCUGGGGGAAGGAGGCAUGACUCGGACUCUGGCCUCAGUUUCCCCACCUGAGAAAUAGGCCACAUAACUCUAGUGACCUCCUGGGGGAAGGGCAGUCAGGCCCUUGGGUGGGGCUUAGGCUUGGCCACUGGCCACCUGAGGCACCUUGGAACUCUGGCCCUGAGUGCCUCGCUAUUCUCUGCCUUCUGUGUGUCAUUGUACCCCAUGAGUGCCUCCAAUGUCCUUCUGUAUUCCCACCCUCUACCACACUGUUCCCAAUCUGUGCUUUGAGGGUGCUUGCUUGUCCCCCACCCUCUGCCCUCUGUCGUAUCUCCUGACUGAUACCUGUAUUUUCUCUCACCUGGCCCUCACCGCCCCAGCCUCAUGACCUACUCUUCUUGGACUGUCUGUGCUCCCAGCCAGCCUUGUCCCAUCACCCCAGCCUCGUAUGUGCACCUUCAGGGCCCCUGUCCCUCUGACACCCCCAUCCUGCCCCCCACAGGAACCUGCUGUACGUGUACCCGCACAGCCUCAACUUCAGCAGCCGCCAGGGCUCCGUGCGCAACCUUGCCGUGCGAGUGCAGUACAUGACAGGCGAGGACCCCAGCCAGGCUCUGCCGGUCAGUGGCUGCGCCCCAGGGAAGGGGGGUAGGGCAUCCCCCAUGGGUCCCUCAUGAAUCCACUCUCCCAGGUCAUCUUUGGCAAGUCCAGCUGCAGUGAAUUUACCCGCGAGGCCUUCACACCGGUGGUCUACCAUAACAAGUAUGUAGGGGGACACGUGAGGAACUUGGGGGCACUCAUGGGGAUAGGAGGAUGUCCCUUAUAUAUACACAUAAGGCAGCAUCGAUGGGAAGAUGGGGGACAGGAAGAAGAGAGGUAGAGGCUCCCAGAGUGCUAAUGAGGGAAGCUGAGGCAGACAGCAGAGACAGUGGGGCCUAGCAGCAAUGAGGGCAUGGCAUGGCAGAGGUGAUGGGGCAGACAGUGGGGACCCCAGCCCCCAGCAGAUCCUGCAGCCCGAUUCUGCCAGGUCCCCCGAGUUCUACGAGGAGUUCAAGCUGCAUCUUCCAGCCUGCGUUACAGAGAACCAUCAUCUGCUGUUCACCUUCUACCAUGUCAGCUGCCAGCCCCGGCCGGGCACUGCCCUGGAGACACCCGUGGGCUUUACUGUGAGCCGUCCCCUCCCUCCCUCCCCCUGAGCCCUCCUCGUCCCCCAGCCUGGCCGCAGACCUGACCUCCAGCCUCUCCCCAGUGGAUCCCACUGCUGCAGCACGGGCGCCUGAGGACCGGACCCUUCUGUCUCCCAGUGUCUGUGGACCAGCCACCGCCCAGCUAUUCCGUGCUCACACCCGAUGUAUGUGCCCUGGAGCUCCUGCCUGCCAAUGCACUGUCCCCAGAAGCACUCCCUAGUCACCUGCCUUCCUUCCUGUCAAUCCUGGGAGGCUUGUUAUCCUCUACUGGUGCCUCCAGGGCCCCUGUGUAGCUCAUUAUCCCCCUAUUAAUGCCUCUCCGUGUCCUACAUGUCCUCCCCAAAGAUUCCCAUUGCCUCUCUGCUCCGUUCCCACUUCAGCCACCCUGCCUGCCUUCCUGAUCACUGUCCCCUGCCCUCGUAGUACCUUAUCAUUCCCUAUGAAUGCACCAUCGUUAAUGACCCUAGGCCUCAAAUCCUCCUAUCCUGUUUCCUGACCUACUCAAUGAAUAUUCAUUAGCCCUGUGUCUCCUGACCUACUCAAUGAAUAUUCAUUAGCCCUGUGUCUCCAUUCUCUGUCCCCCUCCUUGGCAUGUGGAUUUCCAGCCUACCCAGUGGACCCUCUCAGUCUACUGGGACCAGGGCUGGGGGCGGGGUGCUUGGCUGCACCCCCAGACCGGGCUACACUCCUGCUGCAGUGUCGCAAUGGCUGGGGCCGCUGGGUGACCUGAUCAGUCGGGGAGGGCUGACCAGUGCCCACCUGGUACUUCCCUCCCACAGGUGGCGCUGCCGGGCAUGCGCUGGGUGGACGGUCACAAGGGCGUGUUCAGUGUGGAGCUCACGGCCGUGUCCUCUGUGCACCCCCAGGUACGGGGUGGGACGGGAACCAAGAGUCCCGCCCUGCUCCCCUCUUGUCUGCCCCAGGAUUGAGUAACAGUUGCCGAUGGCUGGGGAGGUCUGGCCUCGGGCCUUGGACGUGACUUUGGUCAGCUGGACCCAGCUUUAAGGGAAGCUGCUGAUUCAUGCAGGGGUGGUCUUCAUCCCCUGAGGCCCCACCCUGCUCACUCCACAUCCCUACCCAGGACCCCCACCUGGACAAGUUCUUCACCCUGGUGCACGUCCUGGAGGAGGGCGCCUUCCCAUUCCGGCUCAAGGACACUGUGCUGAGCGAGGGCAACGUGGAGCAGGAGCUGCGGGCCAGUCUUGCAGCACUGCGCCUGGCCAGCCCCGAACCCCUCGUGGCCUUCUCCCACCACGUGCUGGACAAGCUGGUGCGUCUGGUCGUCAGGCCCCCGAUCAUCAGUGGCCAGAUUGGUGAGCGAAUGUGGCCUCAGACCUCAGUUUCCCCAUCCACGUGGCUCUGAGGUCCUGAGGUCCUGAGGGACCUUCUAUAAGCUCAUUUACCUCUCUGGCCAUUUUUCUCAUCUGAAAAAUGACCUCCAGUCCCCUGCACCCAGAGAAGGUCUUCUGUGACCCUUUGGCCCAGGUGUGGCGGCUCACGCCUGUCAUCCCAGCACUUUGGGAGGCCGAGGCGGGCGGAUCACCUGAGGUCAAGAGUUCGAGACCAGCCUGACCAACAUGGAGAAACCCCUUCUCUACUAAAAAUACAAAAUUAGCUGGGUGUGGUGGCGCAUGCCUGUAAUCCCAGCUACUCGGGAGGCUGAGGCAGGAGAAUUGCUUGAACCUGGGAGGCAGAGGUGACAGUGAGUGGAGAUCAUGCCACUGGACUCCAGCCCGGGCAACAGAGCAAGACUCCAUCUC
rnacentral:sRNA from 1 species